UACGUAGGGGGCAAGCGUUGUCCGGAAUCAUUGGGCGUAAAGAGCGUGUAGGCGGCCAGGUAGGUCUGCUGUGAAAACUCGAGGCUCAACCUCGAGACGUCGGCGGAAACCAUCUGGCUAGAGUCCGGAAGAGGAGAGUGGAAUUCCUGGUGUAGCGGUGAAAUGCGCAGAUAUCAGGAAGAACACCCGUGGCGAAGGCGGCUCUCUGGGACGGUACUGACGCUGAGACGCGAAAGCGUGGGGAGCGAACAGG
rnacentral:rRNA from 1 species